rnacentral:rRNA from 1 species
GACGAACCGGUGCGAACGUUGUUCGGAAUCGACUGGGCUUAAAGGGCGCGAGUAGGCGGCUUGGCACCGUCGGAUGUGAAAUUCCUGGGCUUAACCUGGGGCUGCAUUCGAUACGUGUGGGUCUUGAGUGGCGGAAGAGGGUCGUGGAAUUCCAGUGUAGAGGUGAAAUUCGUAGAUAUUAGGAAGAACACCAGUGGCGAAGGCGGCUCGACUGGCCCGGUACGUGACGCUG